AUACGGAGGGAGCGAGCGUUAAUCGGAAUUACUGGGCGUAAAGCGCGCGUAGGCGGCUUUGUAAGUCGGAUGUGAAAGCCCUGGGCUCAACCUGGGAAUGGCAUUCGAUACUGCAGAGCUAGAGUAUGGUAGAGGGAAGUGGAAUUUCCGGUGUAGCGGUGAAAUGCGUAGAUAUCGGAAGGAACACCAGUGGCGAAGGCGACUUCCUGGGCCAAUACUGACGCUGAGGUGCGAAAGCGUGGGGAGCAAACAGGAUUAGAAACCCCUGUAGUCC
rnacentral:rRNA from 1 species